AUUGAACGCUGGCGGCAGGCCUAACACAUGCAAGUCGAGCGAAUGAGAAGAGCUUGCUCUUCGAUUCAGCGGCGGACGGGUGAGUAAUGCCUAGGAAUCUGCCUGGUAGUGGGGGACAACGUCUCGAAAGGGACGCUAAUACCGCAUACGUCCUACGGGAGAAAGCAGGGGACCUUCGGGCCUUGCGCUAUCAGAUGAGCCUAGGUCGGAUUAGCUUGUUGGUGAGGUAAUGGCUCACCAAGGCGACGAUCCGUAACUGGUCUGAGAGGAUGAUCAGUCACACUGGAACUGAGACACGGUCCAGACUCCUACGGGAGGCAGCAGUGGGGAAUAUUGGACAAUGGGCGAAAGCCUGAUCCAGCCAUGCCGCGUGUGUGAAGAAGGUCUUCGGAUUGUAAAGCACUUUAAGUUGGGAGGAAGGGCAGUCAGCGAAUACCUGGUUGUUUUGACGUUACCGACAGAAUAAGCACCGGCUAACUCUGUGCCAGCAGCCGCCGUAACAC
rnacentral:rRNA from 1 species